GGGCAAUUGGUCUAGGGGUAUGAUUUUCGCUUCGCAUUCCAUAGAUGCGCCUUUGUGAAAGGUCACCGGUUCGAAUCCGGUAUUGUCCA
rfam:Neurospora crassa OR74A linkage group V, whole genome shotgun sequence.